rnacentral:rRNA from 1 species
UACGAAGGGGGCUAGCGUUGCUCGGAAUCACUGGGCGUAAAGGGUGCGUAGGCGGGUCUUUAAGUCAGGGGUGAAAUCCUGGAGCUCAACUCCAGAACUGCCCUUGAUACUGAGGAUCUUGAGUUCGGGAGAGGUGAGUGGAACUGCGAGUGUAGAGGUGAAAUUCGUAGAUAUUGGGAAGAACACCAGUGGCGAAGGCGGCUAACUGGUCCGGUACUGACGCUGAGGUGCGAAAGCGUGGGGAGCAAACAGG